UGUAGAAGAAAAGGAAAAUGUGAAGAAAGUUCUGAACUUUGUUUUUGUAUUGAUACUCUCUUAGCCCUUACAAUGGUUCUUUUCACAUAUUUAUAUAGAACCAGAGACAAUUGUAAACCUAGCUACACUGACACAUGUCGUUAUCAGAGAGGAGAUUGAGGGUAUCAAAAGCAUUCUUCGUCUCUAUCUGCAGAAUCGUACCGCAGCUCACCGUUUUGGCUUUUGCAGCAGAGGUGUUUUUCUCUGCAAUUUCCUUCUUCUUAUCUUCAUGUGACCGUUGCACAGUGGGGAGCUUAGUGGGCUUUUCUGUUUGAACGUUGUUGUUGUUAUUGGGCUUGUCUUGAUCCAUAUCUUUAUUUUUGAAAGCCUUGACUUCAAAAGCUGGUUUCACCUGAGAGCUUUGUUUCUCCUUUAUACU
rnacentral:lncRNA from 1 species